rnacentral:lncRNA from 1 species
AACUCUCCAUUAAUGAGGAAUUUUGGUGACAUGCCCAUCUUUAGUUGUAGUUUUUGAACUAGAAUUAUUUGGGAUGUUCUAUUCUAUAAGCUAUAGAUUCUCUAGGGAAACAUUGUCAUCAAAAUUGCAAUAUUUGUUCAUAUUGUGGUUUUCUGCUCCAAUUUAGAUCUAUUGUGUGUAGCAGUGAAAGAAAUCUGUUAAACUCAUAUUUCUUGUAGACUUCAAUGAUCUAUUGAUUCCUAUAGAUAUUAUUGGGAUUUUAUUUUGUCCUUCAGUCUGAACCACUAUUGCCAAUUCAUGCACUCUAGUGCGUCCUGAGUCUUUUUUCCUGUUUGAGAAUAUUGAGUUUUCGUCCACCAUGAGCUCAAGAGUUUUAUUUGGUAGAAGCAGAAGAGAACCAUACAGAAAAACUACUUAGAGUUUCAGAAGGACUUACCUUUGACCGACAAACAGAGAAAAGUAAGUAGUAUAAGCAGAAAAAGGACCAAAAACUCAGUAAACUAAUUUACAGUGAAGGAUAAGACUUUCACAACAAGCCUUUGACUAAUGAACAGACAAGAUUAUUUGUAAUUUCUCUCUUAUCACUUCUAUUUAUUAAGAAGGAAAUGAAGCCAAUGUCACCAGUUAUCACAUGAUGAUAACUAGCUUGCCUUUGAAAUCUGGUAUAACUUUCCUCGAGGUAAAUUUUAUUAGCCAUAAAAUCCUGAUGAAUAUUUUUAGUUAAUUAAUGGAAGUACUUUGCCUUUAGAUGUUCUUCUUCGUUAUUAAUUUAGACUACUAUUCUCAGGUCCUUCUAAUUGAGGUUUGAUUCAGAAUCAUUUCCCUAGUAGGCUGAAUGAUGAAGUGUCUUUCACAGUUUCACUCAUAGUGUUCAAAUUGGGUGCUACAGAAUUCUCAUUUACUGAAGUGAAUACUAUUCGAGCAAGCGCCAGCAAGGUUACCUGUUGCCACUUCUCAUCAGAUGGGAAAGUACUUGCUACUGGUGGACAUGAUAAGAAAGUAAGUACAGGCAGUUAUGUGGACAUGAUAAUAUGUUGUCUUAUGCCAUAGUCUGAUAAUGGGAUGGUUAAAUUUCUGGAUUAUGCAGGCUGUACUGUGGUAUGCAGAUACUUUAAAGCCGAAAACAACUCUGGAGGAACAUUCUUUAAUGAUCACGGAUGUUCGAUUUAGUCCAACCAUGUCUCGCCUGGCAACAUCUUCUUUCGACAAAACUGUCAGAGUCUGGGAGGCUGACAAUGUUGGUGAACAUAAUAUCUCAUUGACACUCAUGUUUUUUAGAUUUUUGAAUUCUUUUUGUAUUCAAAGCUUCUUGCAACAGCCUUCUGAUAUACUGAACUACAGGAGGUGCCAGCCUGACUUUAAGUACUGAUGAAAUUUCAAAACUUUUUUCCACAAUGAUACAAGUGCUUAUGAUGCAAGUGUGUUUUUCCGGGAGAGAACAAUCUAAUGGAAGUUGUUGUUUUACAUACCCUGGAAAGUUACGUAGAACAUGACCUACACUUGUAGCUCCAAGCAAGCAGAUGUACGGGCAUGAGUUAAUUGACAGGACGCUGAAUUUGUAGUUAAGUGCAUGAUGGUGAAGGGUGAAGAAGUAGGUAAUCUGUCCCUUAGAGCUGACCACAGAAGAUUUUGUUCUUUUAGAGGAAUGGAGCAGGACUUUCAAGUAAAGCUGGUUACCUGUUAUUACUCAGAUACUUAGAUAUUCCUGUCUUUGGCUUGUUGCCACUUGCAACAUCAAUAAAAAAUGGCUUUGUGGUCGAUUUUAGCUUCGUACCCCUAAUAGGAGUCGCCAUUGUUUUAAAAUCUGAACAUUGAAAAUUUGGGAACAUAUACUAUUUUGAGUUGAUAUUAUGAAUUUAUUGCCUAACUGUCCAUGUGAAUGGUUUUGCAAUCUGACUCUUGUUCAAAACCUAGAGAGUUGCUUCAGUAUGUAAGUUCUCUGAAUUUCCACACUUGCUUACAUGAGAUGAUCGUCUCCUCUUAUUACCCUUGAAGCCGGAAUUCUAGAGGCUGCUGAUAUUGAUAAACUCUGCCAUGGGUACUCUCCCGUGAUAAUAAUCAAGUGAAGAUUUGGCUACUUCCUUCAUAGAUCAUUUUGAAAGCAUUCUCUUCGGAGCUCAAUGAAUUGCUGUUUUUGGACUGCAGACUUCUGCGGCAUUUGUUGUGUGGCUUUUUUAUGAAAUGGUGUCUGUGACUAUGAGGAUUGUAUUUAUCCUUCUUGGCUCUUAUGCAUUAUUUUGGCAGCUCAAUGUCGAGGUUCCUUCAUUUUACCCUGAUAAUGAUCAUGUUUCAAGAGUUUCCUGUUUCGGUAGUUGUUGGUCAAUGUGGAGGGCAAAUUCACAUGUGACCUUGCUAAGAUUUAUUUGACCGUCUCUGUUUUGUUCGCUCGUGAUAGUACGCAUUUAGCUUCAUUUUUGUUGGCUUUAUGUCUAAUGUCCAUGUGCAUAUGGUAUCAUCAAUGGAUUAUUUGUUCAUUUCAGGCUGGUUAUUCUCUUCGGACUUUUAUGGGGCAUUCUUCUACUGUUGCGUCUCUGGACUUCCACCCAAAUAAAGAUGAUCUUAUCUGCUCUUGCGAUGGGGAUGGUGAGAUAAGAUACUGGAGCAUUAAUAACGGCAGCUGUUCGAGGGUAUUCAGGGUACAAAUUAAUAUGAAUUGUCAUGCUAAUCUUGUUGCUCCUUGUGGUUUUAAUGAGAUGGUGCAUCAAGUGCAUCUCGAUUCUCUAAAAAUGUAUAACUUAUGUUGCUCGUGAAUCAGGGUGGCACAGCCCAGUUGAGAUUCCAGCCACGUCUUGGAAGGUAUCUUGCUGCUGCGGCAGAUAAUGUCUUAUCGAUAUUGGAUGUAGAGACACAAGCGUGCAGGCAAACUUUGCAGGUUGAAUUUUUAGUAACUUCCUCCUUUUUAUUCGGUCUAGUUAAGUGGGGAUUGUUAAAAGGGGAUAUUGUUGCUGAGUGAAUGAUUGUCUUACCUCUAGUAGGUAUGAUUGAAUGAUGUUGUCUGCAACUACCUUUCCAGAUUCUAUGCCAUUGAAUUGUAUGCUUGCUACUGAUGGCUUUAGUUCAUGCUCUGUUAUCGUGUUGUUAUUUUGAAAUGACUAUGUUUUAUUUCUCUGGUUAGUAGAACAAAAGCUAUUAUUUCAUCUCUCUGCCAAAAUCUUACUGUGGUGAUGGGAGUUGUUUUGUUUUUUAUGCUAGGGUGUAUUGGUGAACCUAUUGGCUUGCUGGAUAUACCUUAGUCACCUUGCCUAAAUAAAGUAGCAUUUUCCCAGGUCUAGGUUUAAGGUUCAAUCUAGUUGACAGAUAACAGUAGGAAAAAAGUUUGUCAUCUAAGCUUGUCAUCUUUUUAUCUGCUGUAUCUAAGCAUAUGAUGUUCAUGUAUGUGUCACCAUUUACAGAUGCUAUUUUAAUGACACAAUUAGUUUCAAGGUGUAUCUCAUCUUUCAGAGCAUUUUAUGGUUUGCAUCUAUCUUAUUGAAAUUGUUACUCAUUCAAUUGCACGGCCUUUUAGUUCAAGUUGGCCUUUCUUUUCUUUGAGAUUGUCACAAUUAGUAUUUUUAUUCUCUUUGUUUCCUGCUUCUAGUAACAUGUUGAUCGUUCCCACAUGAAUCUGAAUUUUGAUAACAGGGGCAUACUAAGGCAAUCGAUUCUGUGUGUUGGGAUUCUACUGGCGAUUUAGUUGCGUCUGUCAGUGAGGACUCUGUUAGAGUUUGGGCAGUUGGGUCUGGUAGUGAAUGGGACUGUGUACAUGAAUUGAGCUGCAAUGGAAACAAGGCCCACUCCUGCGUGUUCCACCCAACUUAUCCUUCACUUUUGGUGAUUGGCUGCUACCAGGUAAGGCGCACGUUUGAAUUAUUUAUUUUAGCAUUUCAUGUGAAUUCUAGCUCUGUACAUAGGAGAAGUGAGAUAUAAGUCCAUGUUUAGAUGUUCCCAAAUUUUGUUAAUUUUUAGGAUUACAUAAGAAAUUUUGAGCGAGCUUCUUGGGGAUGCUAAUCAGGCUCAUGAGUUUCUAAAAUAUUAAGUAUUGCCUAGUAUAAAUCAGGCGACUUUCUCACUAUCCUCUGAAGUAGUGAAGGUCGGGUAAUUGGCAACUUCGGAAUCAUAACUUCUGAAGCAGGCUGUAUAAGAGCCAUGGAACAGCAAAAGCUAUGUGCCUUAAAGUACGAGUCAUGUUAAUAGGCUCUUUGGACUUCUAUUGCCCCAUAAGAUCUUGGUUUAAUUGUGCUUUGGUCUAAGCUAAUCGAAAAUUCUCUGCAGACCCUGGAGCUCUGGAAUAUGGCCGAGAACAAGACAAUGGCUUUGCCAGCUCAUGACGGACUAAUUUCAGCAUUGGCAGUAUCAAAUGUGACGGGCCUGGUUGCUUCAGCUAGUCACGACAAGACAGUGAAGCUGUGGAAGUGAUACUUUGGCAUCUCCAGGUAUUUUUCCUAAGCACUCAGAUUGGAAGACUGAAUUCGCUGUUCCCAUCAAAGUGCAUGUAUCUUGUCCUUGUAUCAGUUGCCUCAGUACGCCCAGGUGGUGUCGUCUCACUGAUACUAAUUUAGAGCUUAUGAUGAGCGAUGGGAUUUAACUUUGUGACAUUUGUUGCUGUUGUACAUCAGGUGAUGACUUCUUUUGUCAAGUUGAAGCUUUCUGCGAAUGCUUCAGUGACAUGUAAUGUUUGGCCUUUCCUUAGAGAAGGAAAUGUUCUCAGAUAGGACUCUACAUCGAUAAUUGCCGUCUUCUCUCGUUUGGUACUUAUGCCAUGUCUCUUGAACUUCGAUGUCAUUUAGUUUUCUGGUCGGAUUGAAAUUCUAAUUGUCGGUUUCAUUCUCAUCAACUUAAAGGGCGAAAAGAAACAGAUUUCGAGGAACCCCCCCACUUUUUAGCUGUUAAGAGCUUGAGAUGGAAUGAAAUAUGUUCUGGUUAGAUCCCUAGGAAACAAGUGGAUCCAUCAACUCUAAGAAUGGCUGAAGGUAAAGGAAAAAGGCUGCGAGGACUGCUAAAAAAGUAUCCCCCUGCUGUAGCCUUUACUUGGGUAUUAUUUACCUUUUUUGUAUGGAUUAAUGCCAGCACACGGAUGAUACGGAAUCUGAGCCUAAGAUAUAGUACCUCCCUUGGUGAUUCCAUCCACUGGGUGAUUAUUAAAUGGAGGCUUUCAUACUAGAGUUAUUGCCUUGGAAGUAAAGCAAGAUUUACCGUGCGAAAAAUAUAGUGGACAUGUGGAGUGGCAAAAUCUCUUUUCUCGUAAUAACUGUGUAUAUGUUGCAAUCAAGGGGUUCCACUAAAUCACUGUAGUAAACAUGUUUUGCACGAUGCGAUAAAUGCACUGUCGGCAUGAUUCGUAUUCGAAUGUACGCGGUGGUGCUAUAUAUUGUAUUGCUGGUGAGUGAAAAAGCCAGAAGCAGCUGUAAAUGUAACUUGUUUUGAGCGGGAUUGAGGGGAAUUUGCAAGUAUGCGUGGCUCAUCUGAAAUGCUGGUCUCACGGUGAUAUCAAAUUCUCCGCUGGUUCUAUGCUCUUCAUGGGGCCAGAACGCACCAAUUGCCUGCGCUCACAUCGGCUUUCGUCAUAUCAUUUACGGCAAGGCAGAUCCUUUGCCGCAUUAGGGGCCUCAUGUUGCAAGUUCCGUUCUCCCUCCUGCCCGGCGAAGUGCAUAAUACCAUCGUCGGUCUCCUCUACCCGACGCGCCGACCGGAGGUUCUCGGAUCUUUGCUUAUCGUGCCUACCCAGCAGGUUAUGCAUGCGAUGGGCUAAAGGCAGAGUCCCAUCAAACAUGAUCAGCCUCGUCUGACGAUUAUUGACUGUAGAAAUUCCUACAUCUGAGGAGAGUUCUAGUCCGAUGAUGUCGAGUUGAUCUGCUGUGUUCCUCUAUCGUGACAGAACAUGCGUUUGCGUUGGGCAACAAAGGGUUUUUCUUUUAAACAAAAUUCAAUCGAGAGAACACGGGAUACAAAAGCCAUGAACUUUUAUCUAUCUCAAAAGUUAGAAACAAAUAUGUAUAUCUAUAGAUAAAUUGAUAUCGUUCUUAGAUAUGAUUAUAAUAACUAGAUACAAUUCAAAAUGAGGUUCUAUUUUUAGUGCCAUACUUAUUGUUGAUUCAGAAAAUGAAUUGAAAUGAAAAGAUAUUUCAAAAUUCGGGAAUCAAAGUUAGAAGUCCUGAGUUCGAAUGUUUUAAGGUCACAUUCGUCUCUUCAAUUAAAUUUUCAUGCUUAGUACCAAACAGAAGACUGAUCAAACUAAGCGUGAAGGUAGUGUUAGGAUAUUUAAAUAAUAAGUCGUAUAUUCAUCUAAUAGUUUAAGCUUUUACAAUAGUUGACAGUGCACCACAAAAUCCCACACUUCUCUUUAGAUAGUUUUGUUCGGUCUCGAGAUAUAGUAAAGGUGAAAAACUCACAUUUCUCCUCUUUUUAAGUAUAAUAACACUUCAAAGGAGAAGAGAAGUAUGAGGGUUUACAGAUUCACUAUAAACUGUUUUAAAAGUUUAAGCGAUUAGAUGAGAGCAUAACUUAUUAAUUAAAUAUUUUAACACUCCUUCUCAUGUUUAAUCUGAUCGGUUUUCUAUUUAGUACUAAGUGUAAAAAUUUAAUUGAAGAGACAAAUAUAGGGUAAGUUACCAAUGAGAUCUGCCUUUGGCUAAUCUAACGAAAAGGUAUUUAAAGGGGUAGUUAAAAAGCUGUAAGGCUAGCUUCCCCUUUCCCAAUGGGAAAGAAGCCCUUUGUUUCUUUCUUAUCCAAAAGCAGAGGGCCAAGACAGGAGCAAGAACCCUUGGAUCCAUCGAGAAACACCGUGCCAUCCCCUGAAUUUGGAGGCGCAAUUAUUACAUCUUCAUGCAUCACCCACUUAUUCCAAAGAUUAAUCCUUAAAAGAAAGAGAUUGAUUUCUAUUUAAAAAAAUUUUAAAAAAUGACUUACGAAAAGGAAUGAGUGAAUGAAUAAUUUUUUUUUCAUUAUCCAUGAAAAUAUUUACGCAUAAUUUGCUUCGGCGGCUGCGAAAUCUUUGGUAAUUUUUAUUUGAUCGGAAAAUUUGUGAUAAUUCAGACACAAAAUAAAGGGGCGAGACUAUCAGCCGUGGUGGCUCUACUGGGUAGGCUCCUACCUUUGAAGGGAAACGUCAAGUGUUCGAAACUCUUGCAAUUGCAAGGAGGUUGGUAGAUCAUUAGGUGUAUUACGCGUGGCGCCCUGGUGGUGGAUUCUGAGCUAGCGUCACUUGGGGUUUACGUGGCGGCUGUCAGGCAAAAGGUUCGCUCUAGUGGUGGGUCAUGAGCUAGCGUCACUUGGGUUUACGUGGCGGCUGUCAGCCAAAAUUCCUCCGGCCAAAAAAAAAAAAAAAAAACAAAGGGGCAAGAUUUUUUUUAAGAAAAGACGCACGAGGCAAUUCAAUUCCUGCUCCUGUGUGCCUCGACCUUUCUUUGUACGGGGUUUCUCUCUCCGGAACAUUCGUGGCACGCGUUUCUUGGUUCGUUCCUUUUUCUCCCAGUUUGGACGCUCACUUCCGGAGAGAUCGUUCGUCAUUUUACACCGUGGAGUGCCCAUUUUUUUUUCCUUGAAUUUUCGGUUGGAAGUCUUCCAUCGCCUUCGAGUAAAUUGGUCAGUCAGGUUUAGACUUUGUUUUUGGCUGAUGAUAAUCUCUUAGCAUGAAUUCAGUUAUAUUGUUCAGUAAUGAUCUGGAUCUUCAACUACAGGCAGAUACUGUUGGUCGCUCCAUGGAUGUUAGCAAAGGUGCCUGAGAACUCUACAUUAAUGGGGAAUUUUGGUGACAUGCCCAUCUUUAAUCGUUGUUCUUGAACUAGAAUUAUGUGGCGUGUGCUAUUCUAUAUGCUUUAGAUUUUCUAGGGAAACGUUGUCAUAUAAAUUGCAACAUAUAUAUUUGUUCACUUUGUUGUUUUCUGCUCCAAAUUUAGAUCUAUUGUGUGUAUAGCAGGGAAAGAAAUCUGUUAGUCUCAUAUAUCUUGUAGACUUCGAUAAUCUAUUGAUUCACAUAGAUGGUAUUGGGAUUUUCCUUUGUCCUUCAGUCUGAACGACUAUUGCCAAUUCAUGCGCUCUGGUGCGUCUUGAGCCUUUUUUUUUUUCCUUUCUGAGGAUCUGUAAGAUUUCGUCCACCAUGAGCUCAGAGUUUGAUUGGUCGAAACAGAAGGGAACCAUACAGAAAAAACUACUGAAAGAGUUUCAGAAGGACUAACCUUUGAGCGACAACGGAGAAACGUAAGUGGUAUGAGCAGAAAAAGGACCAAAACUCAAUAAACUAAGUUACAACGAAGGACAAGACUUUCACGACAAGCCUUUGAAUAAUGCACAGACAAGAUAAUUUUGUCAUUUCUCGCUAUCACUCCUAUCUAUUAAGAAGGAAAUGAACCCAAUGACACCAGUUAACAAAGGAUGAUAACUAGCCUGCCUUUGGAAUCAAGUGUAACUUUCCUUGAGGUAAAUUUUAUCAACCGUAAAAUCCUGAUGAAUAUUUUUAGUUAGUUAAUGGAAGAACUUUGCCUUUAGAUGUCCUUCUUCGUUAUUAAUUUAGACUACCAUUCUCAGGUCUUUCUAAUUGAGGUUUGAUGCAGAAUCAUUUCCCUAGUAGGCUGAAUGAUGAAGUGUCUUUCACAGUUUCACUCAUAGUGUUCAAAUUGGGUGCUACAGAAUUCUCAUUUACUGAAGUGAAUACUAUUCGAGCAAGCGCCAGCAAGGUUACCUGUUGCCACUUCUCAUCAGAUGGGAAAGUACUUGCUACUGGUGGACA